rnacentral:rRNA from 1 species
CUGCGGAGGGAUCAUUACAAGUGACCCCGGUCUAACCACCGGGAUGUUCAUAACCCUUUGUUGUCCGACUCUGUUGCCUCCGGGGCGACCCUGCCUUCGGGCGGGGGCUCCGGGUGGACACUUCAAACUCUUGCGUAACUUUGCAGUCUGAGUAAACUUAAUUAAUAAAUUAAAACUUUUAACAACGGAUCUCUUGGUUCUGGCAUCGAUGAAGAACGCAGCGAAAUGCGAUAAGUAAUGUGAAUUGCAGAAUUCAGUGAAUCAUCGAAUCUUUGAACGCACAUUGCGCCCCCUGGUAUUCCGGGGGGCAUGCCUGUUCGAGCGUCAUUUCACCACUCAAGCCUCGCUUGGUAUUGGGCAACGCGGUCCGCCGCGUGCCUCAAAUCGACCGGCUGGGUCUUCUGUCCCCUAAGCGUUGUGGAAACUAUUCGCUAAAGGGUGUUCGGGAGGCUACGCCGUAAAACAACCCCAUUUCUAAGGUUGACCUCGGAUCAGGUAGGGAUACCCGCUGAACUUAAGCAUAUCAAUAAGCGGAGGAAAAGAAACCAACAGGGAUUGCUCUAGUAACGGCGAGUGAAGCAGCAAUAGCUCAAAUUUGAAAUCUGGCGUCUUCGACGUCCGAGUUGUAAUUUGUAGAGGAUGCUUCUGAGUAACCACCGACCUAAGUUCCUUGGAACAGGACGUCAUAGAGGGUGAGAAUCCCGUAUGCGGUCGGAAAGGUGCUCUAUACGUAGCUCCUUCGACGAGUCGAGUUGUUUGGGAAUGCAGCUCUAAAUGGGAGGUAAAUUUCUUCUAAAGCUAAAUAUUGGCCAGAGACCGAUAGCGCACAAGUAGAGUGAUCGAAAGAUGAAAAGCACUUUGGAAAGAGAGUUAAAAAGCACGUGAAAUUGUUAAAAGGGAAGGGAUUGCAACCAGACUUGCUCGCGGUGUUCCGCCGGUCUUCUGACCGGUCUACUCGCCGCGUUGCAGGCCAGCAUCGUCUGGUGCCGCUGGAUAAGACUUGAGGAAUGUAGCUCCCUCGGGAGUGUUAUAGCCUCUUGUGAUGCAGCGAGCGCCGGGCGAGGUCCGCGCUCGGCUA